CCCUUUUCUCAAUGCCCUUUU
rnacentral:snRNA from 1 species